rnacentral:rRNA from 1 species
CUAGUAAUCAUAGGUCAGCAUACUAUGGUGAAUACGUUCCCGGGCCUUGUACACACCGCCCGUCACACCAUGAGAGUUGGGGAUACCCGAAGCCUGUGAGCUAACUUUUAGAGGCAGCAGUCGAAGGUAGAAUCAAUGAUUGGGGUGAAGUCGUAACAAGGUAAC